rnacentral:rRNA from 1 species
UAGAUACCCUGGUAGUCCAUGCCGUAAACGUUGGGCACUAGGUGUGGGGGACAUUCCACGUUUUCCGCGCCGUAGCUAACGCAUUAAGUGCCCCGCCUGGGGAGUACGGCCGCAAGGCUAAAACUCAAAGGAAUUGACGGGGGCCCGCACAAGCGGCGGAGCAUGCUGAUUAAUUCGAUGCAACGCGAAGAACCUUACCAAGGCUUGACAUGCACUGGACGGCUGCAGAGAUGUGGCUUUCUUUGGACUG